UACAGAGGGUGCAAGCGUUAAUCGGAAUUACUGGGCGUAAAGCGUGUGUAGGCGGACUUCUAAGUACCUUGUGAAAUCCCACGGCUCACCCGUGGAACUGCUGGGUAUACUGGUCGUCUUGAGCCACCUAGGGGCGAGCGGAACAAAUGGUGGAGCGGUGAAAUGCGUAGAUAUCAGGAGGAACACCGAUGGCGAAGGCAGGUCUCUGGGCAUUAACUGACGCUGAGGAGCGAAAGCAUGGGGAGCGAACAGG
rnacentral:rRNA from 1 species